ACACCUCAACUCUCAUGGUUUGCCAUGAUGAGCUUGGACUUUGGGGGUCUUGCUGGCCUGUUGGUCGGCUCCUCUCAAAUGAAUCAGCUUGCCAGUGUUUGGUGGCAUCACAGGUGUGAUAACUAUCUACGCUUGUCGCCGUCCGCCAGGUAACCUUCAGCGAUGGAGGUUCGCUGGAGCUCAUAGACGUCUCUCCUCAGCGAGGACAGCUUUUGAAC
rnacentral:misc_RNA from 1 species